rnacentral:sRNA from 1 species
GGGUUAAAAACUAAUAUUUAUAUGACAGAAGAAAAAGAUGUCAUUCCGUAAAGUAAACAUCAUCAUCUUGGUCCUCGCUGUUGCUCUCUUCUUACUGGUUUUGCACCAUAACUUCCUCAGCUUGAGCAGUUUGUUAAGGAAUGAGGUUACAGAUUCAGGAAUUGUGGGGCCUCAACCUAUAGACUUUGUCCCAAAUGCUCUCCGACAUGCAGUAGAUGGGAGACAAGAGGAGAUUCCUGUGGUCAUCGCUGCAUCUGAAGACAGGCUUGGGGGGGCCAUUGCAGCUAUAAACAGCAUUCAGCACAACACUCGCUCCAAUGUGAUUUUCUACAUUGUUACUCUCAACAAUACAGCAGACCAUCUCCGGUCCUGGCUCAACAGUGAUUCCCUGAAAAGCAUCAGAUACAAAAUUGUCAAUUUUGACCCUAAACUUUUGGAAGGAAAAGUAAAGGAGGAUCCUGACCAGGGGGAAUCCAUGAAACCUGUGAGUUCCAUGCAUCCUUUUUUGCACUUGGAGUAUUAGGAAAUAAUGGAAUACCUGGGUAUCCGUGGGUAUAGUGCAAGUAGUUUCCUGGGGACCAAGCCUGGGUGGUUCUAAGAGUCCUUUCUUCUCCUGAAUGGGUACUGAAAGCAUCCUAGGAGUUUCUGUGUAAAUAAAAGCACAGCUAGUGCGGUAUCCUAUGCCAAUUAUUCUUUCCUUUUCCAGUUAACCUUUGCAAGGUUCUACUUGCCAAUUCUGGUUCCCAGCGCAAAGAAGGCCAUAUACAUGGAUGAUGAUGUAAUUGUGCAAGGUAUCAAAAAUGUCACCAUGAGUGCUGUUCUCCACCC